GGCUCCUUGUWAAAAAUAAAUACCCAGUCGGACCUGCCCGGUGAAUUCUUUUUAACGGCCGCGGUACUCUGACCGUGCAAAGGUAGCAUAAUCAUUUGCCUUAUAAUUGAAGGCUUGUAUGAAUGGUUUGACAAGAAUAUAGCUGUCUCUUUAUAGUUAAUUAGAACUUUAUUUAUGGGUGAAGAAGCCCAUAUAACAUUGAAAGACAAGAAGACCCUAUCGAGCUUUAAAAAAGUUAACAAUAUAAAAAUAUAGUACGCCAUAAAAAUUAAUUGUUAGAAAUUUUGGUUGGGGCGACUGAGGAACAAAUAAAGCUUCCUUUUCUUCUUUAAAAACAAUCAAGUGGUGAUCCAAAAUAUUUGAUUAAAGAAAUUAGUUACCGUAGGGAUAACAGCAUUAUCUUUUUUGAGAGUUCCCAUCGAAAAAAAGGUUUGUGACCUCGAUGUUGGACCAGAAUAUCCUGAAGAUGCAGCCGUCUUCAAGGGUUGGUCUGUUCGACCAUUAAAAUUCUACGUGAUCUGAGUUCAGACCGGCGUGAGCCAGGUCAGUUUCUAUCUUCAAUUUUUAUAAUAAAUUUAGUACGAAAGGACCAGUUUAUUGCAAAAUAAUUGCUUAUUCUGAAGGAAUAUAACGAAACAUUAAAUCCAGAAAUAAAGCUAAAGAUCAAAUUAGCAAAGACUAAUGCAAUUGAUUUAGGAUCAAUAGACACAGGUGAAAUCCCUUUAUUUGAUAGGGCUAUCACUAGCAUAAAGAUGGCAGAACAAA
rnacentral:rRNA from 1 species